GACGAACGCUGGCGGCGUGCCUAAUACAUGCAAGUAGAACGCUGAAGCUUGGUGCUUGCACCGAGCGGAUGAGUUGCGAACGGGUGAGUAACGCGUAGGUAACCUGCCUGGUAGCGGGGGAUAACUAUUGGAAACAAUAGCUAAUACCGCAUAAAAUGGAUUAUCGCAUGAUAAUUCAUUGAAAGGUGCAAAUGCAUCACUACCAGAUGGACCUGCGUUGUAUUAGCUAGUUGGUGGGGUAACGGCUCACCAAGGCGACGAUACAUAGCCGACCUGAGAGGGUGAUCGGCCACACUGGGACUGAGACACGGCCCAGACUCCUACGGGAGGCAGCAGUAGGGAAUCUUCGGCAAUGGACGGAAGUCUGACCGAGCAACGCCGCGUGAGUGAAGAAGGUUUUCGGAUCGUAAAGCUCUGUUGUAAGAGAAGAACGAGUGUGAGAGUGGAAAGUUCACACUGUGACGGUAUCUUACCAGAAAGGGACGGCUAACUACGUGCCAGCAGCCGCGGUAAUACGUAGGUCCCGAGCGUUGUCCGGAUUUAUUGGGCGUAAAGCGAGCGCAGGCGGUUAGAUAAGUCUGAAGUUAAAGGCUGUGGCUUAACCAUAGUACGCUUUGGAAACUGUUUAACUUGAGUGCAAGAGGGGAGAGUGGAAUUCCAUGUGUAGCGGUGAAAUGCGUAGAUAUAUGGAGGAACACCGGUGGCGAAAGCGGCUCUCUGGCUUGUAACUGACGCUGAGGCUCGAAAGCGUGGGGAGCAAACAGG
rnacentral:rRNA from 1 species